rnacentral:rRNA from 1 species
UACGAAGGGGGCUAGCGUUGUUCGGAAUCACUGGGCGUAAAGCGCACGUAGGCGGACUUUUAAGUCAGGGGUGAAAGCCUGAGGCUCAACCUCAGAACUGCCCUUGAUACUGGGAGUCUUGAGUAUGGUAGAGGUUGGUGGAACAGCAAGUGUAGAGGUGAAAUUCGUAGAUAUUGGGAGGAACACCAGUGGCGAAGGCGGCUACCUGGACCGGUUCUGACGCUGAGGCGCGAAAGCGUGGGUAGCAAACAGG